rnacentral:lncRNA from 1 species
UGUUCAGAUUUUCUAUUUCUUCAUGAUUCAGUCUUAGUAGGUUGUAUGUUUCUAGGAAUUUAUCUGUUUCUUCUAGCUUAUCCAAUUUAUUGGUAUAUAACUGUUCAUAGUAAUCUCUUGUAAUCCUUUGUAGUUCUUUGACAGUAGUUCUGAUGUCUCCUCUUUCAUUUCUGAUUUUAUUUUAGUUUUUUCUCUUUUUUUAAAAAAAAUUCUUAUGGCCACACUCAGGGCAUAUGGAAGUUUCUGGGCCAGGGAUUGAAUCCAAGCCAGAGCUGCACCCUAUGCUGCAGCUGCAGCAACUCUGGAUACUUUAAUACACUGCUCCAGGCUAGGGAUUGAACUCAUGUCUCUGCAGCAACCCAAGAUGCUACAGUCAGAUUCUUAACCCUCUGUGCCACAGUGGGAUCUCUUCUCUCUUUUUAUCUAAUCUAAGUUUUGUCAUUCUUGCUUAUCUUGUAUAAUAUUCUUUUUUCUGAAAACUACCAUUGCUUUAAGUAUAUACAUUUCUGAUUUAUUUUUGGUAUCAAUCACUGAGAAUAGGAAUAGGUAAAAAAAAAAAUGUUUAAGUCUAAUUACUUCUAUGAGAACCUUAGCAAUAGGCUUAUUAUUUAGCACUGACCCUAAUUAGGUAUAAAGGAUUUUUUUCAUUUCUGUUCUCUGGUUUUUUUUCUUUUUUUCGUCUUUUUCAAAUUGACAGAUGACAUGAGGCUUGAAUAGAGGAUAUAGUGGAUAAUACAAACAGAUUUGAAAAUGCUGGGAUUAUAUGCCUCAACUAAGAAGAUAAAAUUAAGGAAGACAACCAGACUUUUUAUGAAGUUACAUUCAGAGUCCAAUGAUAAAGGCACAAGGUUGAAGUUAAUUAGGAUGGGCAAAUGACAGUAGCAGUUCUGUGCCUGAACGUGAACUUCACUGAUUUGCAGAGACAGAGAGAGAGAAUUGGUUUCCAGUAGUUCCCCCAAAGAGUGAGUAACAUUCUUUGCCACAAAUCUCAAGAUUUGGUAUUUUAACUUUUCUUUUUUAUUUCUUAUUUAAAAAAUUUUAUUGACAUAUAGUUGAUUUUACAAUGUGGUGUUUUCUGUUAUAUGGAGUAGUUAUUUGGUUAUAGAUAUAUAUUUUUUCCUUAUAUAUUAAAUUCCCAGAAGAAGGAUGACUAUUGAAGAAUAUUUGCACAUUUAACUUUUAUAGAUGAGUAGACAUAAAGAUAAAUAGAUCAAUUUAUUUAUAGGUAUAUAGAAAGAGGAUAAAUGUUUGAUUCAAAAGUUUAUUAAUUUCCAGUUCUUUUGGUAUCAGUUUCUACAUUCACUUCAAGGAGAAAAAGAAAAAUUGUCUAUGUGUGUGUUCCAUAUCUUGUUUGCUAACUAAGAGAUUACCAAUUAUCUCUUGGUUAACUUUGCUAACCAAGAGUUAAAUAACUCAAUGAAAUUUUAAAUUGCAUCUAUAUUAAUAGUAAAGAUUGACAUUA